CCUACGGGAGGCAGCAGUGAGGAAUAUUGGUCAAUGGACGAGAGUCUGAACCAGCCAAGUAGCGUGAAGGAUGACUGCCCUAUGGGUUGUAAACUUCUUUUAUAUGGGAAUAAAAUGUUCCACGUGUGGGAUUUUGUAUGUAACAUAUGAAUAAGGAUCGGCUAAAUCCGUGCCAGCAGCCGCGGUAAUACGGAGGAUCCGAGCGUUAUCCGGAUUUAUUGGGGUUAAAGGGAGCGUAGGUGGAUUGUUAAGUCAGUUGUGAAAGUUUGCGGCUCAACCGUAAAAUUGCAGUUGAAACUGGCAGUCUUGAGUACAGUAGAGGUGGGCGGAAUUCGUGGUGUAGCGGUGAAAUGCUUAGAUAUCACGAAGAACUCCGAUUGCGAAGGCAGUUCACUGGACUGCAACUGACACUGAGGCUCGAAAGUGUGGGUAUCAAACAGGAUUAGAUACCCGAGUAGUC
rnacentral:rRNA from 1 species